rnacentral:misc_RNA from 1 species
AAGUCGUAACAAGGUCUCCGUAGGUGAACCUGCGGAGGGAUCAUUAACACUUUUUCUUAGGAAAGAGCUCCCAUACUCUUUUCUUUUACCAACCGUGAACUAACUUAUGCCCCGAUUGGUCUAUAUGAACUUCGGUUCUGUAGGCUGGUCCAUUUUUUUUCUAUUGUUAUUUUUAAACCUUUUAUCCAACUACUAACACUAUAGCCAUACAGUACUUUUGAUACAUUUGAUUAUGUAUCCUUCGUACAGUGAUAUAGUAAAGUAACUAAAAGCACAACUCUUAGCAACGGAUAUCUCGGUUCUC